rnacentral:rRNA from 1 species
AUGCUACAUGGCCGGGUUUCGUUUUCAGGCAAGAAAGUGAGUGAGAAUUCCUCCUCCUUUUCUCCGCCUUUUCUCCUCCUCCUCCCUCGUCAAAACCUUUCCAGGCAUCCGAUCCCUCCCUCCCUCCCCCGUUCAUCCUCACAGGAGCAAGCAGCUCGCUCGCUCACUACUUUUCUCUUCUUCUAUCUAUCCGCCCAAUCUUUCCCUGAUGUUGCUUCCAUUGUACCGCUGCUGACCUCUGGGAUGCCUGUCUCCUUGUCCCAGUCCAGGCAGGCUAGCACCAGUGCAGCACCACUACUACGGCGACUAGUAAGUAGUACAACCGCUGCUAGGCCCGGCCCAUGCCCACUUUACUAUCCAUCUCGCUCCCAUAAAGAAAAAGAAACAAAGUUGUUGUUCACUCACUUUGCUCCCCCUCCUUAUUAA